ensembl:snoRNA
AGGUCCAUUCUAAUUCCCUGCAGGUCAGUGCCAGUACCUGCUGGGUUUCGCUUGUGGACCACAUUAAACUGGAGAACUGAAACAUGUAUGAGCUUACUGGAAGUCUGCUCAUGUUGGAGUUUUCUGGACAUGU